UUAAUAGUAAUUAGGAGAUAGUGUAUUGCUUGCGUCUCUACAGAGUUGCUAGAGUGCUGUUUUCUUUCGAGGAUCUGGCUCAAAAACCCUUCCAGCUGAGCAGUGGUCUUUCAAACCUCUAACCCACCCACCAUGCCACUUCACUUGGCACCUCCUCCUCCUCUUACCUGACCCCAGGGACUGCUGCCAAAUGCCAGGGUGUCUGAGAUUAUUUGCAGAAGGGACAGGAAGUGGUCGUCGUCAUAGCUGAAGCGUUGACCAAACACCAAGCAGCAGAUCACGUUGGACACGGAGCAGCUCAAGAAUUCAUAGAAGACUGGUUAUGAUACACAUAUAUCGUCAUGGUAUUACCAUAGCCCUUGGUAACUCUCAUCAACAAAGGAACAGGUGCUCUGCCAGUGAAGUCGUCUGCUUGGUCUACCAGGGCCUCCUUCACAGCAUCAUACCCCACCAGGACCACGGCGCGCUGAGGGCCCAGCAGGUUUCCUAUGAUUGGCAGAGCCAGCGGUCCUGGAGGUAAACAGAUGUGUUUACGACUGUUCAGCCUAAAUAGCCACAUCAAAGCCAUGCUAAGCCCCGCUAAAAUCAACGUGACAGACAACUCCAUGACGCAACACGAAAAUAAUACAAACGUUGUCCUCUGCAGUUGACUACACUAAAUGUCUAAAUCUGUGAAGAGAUCAACUGUGCAACUGCGUAGGCUGCUGCAUGCAACCUCCUGUCGAGCAGUCAAACUUCUGGACUUUUGCUGAAUUUCAUGUUGAUUUGCGGAAGCAGGAGAGGAAUCAGGUUACCUGGAAUGUAACUCCCGUUCUGUGAGUAGGAGCCAUAGACAAUAUAUAGGAGCCGAGCACAGCCUGUCCAGUCUCUGCAGCACAGUCUGGGAUUUGGACCUUGGACCAUUAAUAUUAACAGUCUAUGCCUUGGACCGAGCAGUGCACUAACAGGAUCUCAGUUGUUUCCAAGUUAUGAAUUUAAAACAUAAACAUCUGGGUAAUAAUCUGCAUUAGCUACUCUGGAUUUUUGCUUUGCUGUUGUGUUUUGUGAAAUGUAGAAGUGUUUUGUGAAAUGUAGAUUUGUU